UUGGACAUCGGCCAUCUGAGUGUGCUAUGCAUUUUUUCUACUUUUAUUUUACUGCUCCUUGCAUAUGCACCUCUACAAGAACUUUGGUGGGCUUUUCAGUUUCAUUUGAAUCUCCACUUACAAUUCCAGCCAAUUUUUCUUGAAAAGUCUGACUAAAAUGACUUGAAGUUCAAACUGGAUCUGUUUCUGAACCCUUUGGAGCGCAGACAAAUAACUGACGCGCUACAGUUUUGGCCUCUGCCGACUGAUCUACUCUAAUUCUAGUUAGGUUCAAAGGUCUUUUUUCAAGAGUCCUUUACCAGAAUAUUUAAAAUGUUUUAAGUAAGUGUGAGAAACCAGCAACUUGAAUCCAGAACAUUUGCAUUUAUCAUAUUUCCCUUGAAAGCACUUGUCUACUAGUUCAGUUAAAAUAUACAUAAAAGAUAUUCCUCCAUCACUAACUAAUCCACCACCUUAACAUUAUUUGCACGUUCUACCUUGACAUGAUUGAAACCUAAAUGGCCGUACCUCUAGCUCUGGUGAAUCUGGCGGUGUUGGCGGACGAGGUGCGGGGCCGGCGGCGGGCUUGGUGUCAGGUACAUGACGCCAUCGCACUCCGAGCACUUCAUUUUCAGAGUCUUUUCAGGAGAAAGGUGCCGCAGCCAUAUGACAGUAAUUAACAACCGACUGAAAUAUCCUGUCCCCGGGCGCGAGGUGGCAACGCUCACGAACUGACUAUUUGCUCAUUAAUUCCGCAGGCCUCAAACUCCACUGUUCACGUCUGAGGAGUGAAGAAAAAGGCCUGUACCUGACUUUUUUAUUCUCGUUAAAAGACCCAUAUUAUGCUGUUUUCUGACUGCUGUUUUUAAACUCCGUACAGCUUCACUAGAAUCGCUUGGAACAUUUCAGACCUGGAAUUGCCUUCUCAACUGGACAAAAGGACAAAACACCGAGCCACAAACAAAGCAAUGUGGUCUACUCCGUUCAGUGCAGUGAAGAGUGAAGUGAACGCUACAUUGGAGAAACUAAACUGCUUCACAAGAGGAUGUACCAACACAGACGAGAGAGCAGCAGUGGACCUCAGUCUGCCGUACAUCUCCACUUAAAAGCCACGGGCCACUCAUUUGAGGACAGUGAGGUACAGAUUUUAGCCAGAAAAAAGAACUGGUUCGAGAGGGGAGUGAAAGAAUCCUUCUCUAAACAGAAAUGGAGGCCUCAGACACCAUCUAUCUCAAUAUUUACAACUCCAUCCUCAAACCUUAUUCAAAACAACCAAGAGAACAACAGGUGUAUCCAGGUCAGGUCCAGAGGUGUGGAAGCCUCUUUAUUGUUAUGUUAAUUAGUCUCCACACCCUGCAAAGGUCAAUAGGCCGAACUAACUCACUGAAACUGUAAACAAGUGGGUGUUAGUUACAGUUAGUUCGCUCCUCCCUGCAGAUAUAAGGAAGUGUCCACCAGCGUUUGACCAGAACUGAAGAAGCAGCUUGGACGAGCUGCGAAACGUCUUCAACCAAACUAACUUUUGUCCAGUCGACAAAUUGAAUUUUCUCCUUGCUUUGGCACGACUGGCACGCACCUGCUCCUACCAACCUUUGUUUUGUUUUUUUCGUACACCUUGGUGAACGUUUGGCCACACAAAAUAAACUUGCCGAACUAAA